GUGGGUGGCAGCACAAGCACUUAAGCCAUAUAGCGCUACUGUUCUACUGCAGGUUCAGAAGAAAAUUGUAAACAUCCUUCAAGAAUCAAACAUUCAGGAGAUACUGCGUCGUUUUAUUAAAUGUAUGUUUAUUUAAUGUUUAUUUGCGGAUGACAUACAUUUUUCAAUUAAUAGCACUGAAUGUACUGCAGUAAGGUUUUUCGUAGAGGGCGCUUUUACAUUUAUUACUGAAUACAAAACUCUACCACACGUAAACUGCAGCAGCCACUCCUGAUCGCUGAUAUGUGAGAAUAUCAUCAGUUCAUUAAAGGUGGUUGCAUCUAUUUUUGGCUAUUUCACUAUGGCCACUCUGACGAGGCAGGACCUUAAUUUUGGCCAAGUUGUUGCUGACAUUCUCUGUGAGUUUUUGGAAGUGGCCAUUCACCUCAUCCUCUAUGUCAGAGAAGUUUAUCCAUCUGGUAUCUUUCAGAAAAGGAAGAAGUACAACGUACCCGUGCAGAUGUCAUGCCAUCCUGAGUUAAAUCAGUACAUUCAAGACACUCUCCAUUGUAUCAAGCCACUGAUUGAGAAGAAUGAGGCUGAGAAGGUUGUAGUGGUGAUCAUGGAUAAAGAGCACCAUCCAGUGGAGAGAUUUGUGUUUGAGAUCUCACAGCCUCCACUGCUGUCCAUCAGUUCAGAGACUCUGCUGUCCCAUGUGGAGCAGCUGCUGAGAGCAGUGAUCCUAAAAAUCAGUGUGUGUGACGCUGUUCUAGACAACAAUCCUCCAGGAUGUACAUUCACAGUGCUGGUACACACCAGGGAAGCUGCCACAAGAAACAUGGAGAAAGUUCAGGUCAUCAAGGAUUUUCCAUGGAUUGUAGCAGAUGAGCAGGAAGUUCACAUGGAAGAGGCAAAACUCAUUCCUCUAAAAACAAUGACUUCUGAUAUUCUCAAGAUGCAGCUCUAUGUGGAAGAAAAAACACAGAAAACCUGAUGAUGUGUUAGUGGAGCACAUGAAAGUAGCUGCAAGGGGUGUUAACUACAGGAAACAGGAAACAGUGUUUUUUUUUUCAUGUUGAUAACAGCCGUGGUAACAUAAAAGGAAGUAUAUUGAGCUGAACUGUGUGUCUUAUUAACUCAUCGAGACAAAAUGAUCACCUUUGGACCAGUGAUGAUUUUAUUAGUUCCCUGAUAUGUGUAUAUACUAUAAUCUCUCAAUACUCCUUUUCAUGAGAGUAGUACUUUGCAUGGCAGCAUGUAAUAAUGCAGAAUAUGAAAUUAAUGGAGAGUGUUGCCCAAUGUGUGAUUCAGGAAAGAGAGUUCAUAAGCAUUGUGAUGACAAUACAAGCACUACAUGUGAGUCGUGCCUUGUGACGACCUACACUGACAUUCCCAAUGGAUUGACCAAAUGCCUGCCAUGUUUAAUCUGUGAUGCAAGUAAUGGGCUGAGAGUAAAGCAGGAAUGUACAUUAAAAUCAAAUAGAGUGUGUGAGCCUCUGCCAGGUUAUCGCUGUAUAGACCUGCACUCAAACUGUCAAAAGGCCAAGAAACAUUCAACCUGCUCACCGGGACAAUACGUCAACCAAACUGGAACAGAAUUUAGUGAUACAGUGUGUGAUGACUGUCCUGCUGGUUCAUAUUCAAAUGGUACAAUCUGCAAAUUGCAUACAAAGUGUGAAUCUCUUCACAAAAUAACAGUCAAGGCAGGAACAGAGACGUCUGAUACUGUGUGCAGCGAUGAAAAACUUAUUUUACUGAUUGUAAUGUCUGUGAUUACAGUGUCAGUGUGUGUGGCGUUAACUGUCAUUGUUGUUGUUGUUCUUAAAAAAAAAAAAAAAAGCAAUAUCAAGUAACUCCUCCCUAAGAUUUGAACCUGCAUCCUUAAACUAUUUUUUCCAACGCAGUGUAAAAACAAUUUGUUUGCGAUGUGUUCAGAAACCAACAAUUAAAGUGAUCUGCUUAUGUUCAGUAAAUAAAAUGGAUAACUUUUGAAACCA